GACGUAGGGUGCAAGCGUUGUCCGGAUUUACUGGGCGUAAAGAGCGCGUAGGCGGUCUGUUAAGUGUAGAGUGAAAUCUCUGGGCUCACCCCGGAAACUGCUCUGCAUACUGGCAGACUUGAGGGAAGCAGAGGUUUGUGGAAUUCCUGGUGUAGCGGUGAAAUGCGUUGAUAUCAGGAGGAACACCCACGGCGAAGGCAGCAAACUGGGCUUCAUCUGACGCUGAUGCGCGAAAGCGUGGGUAGCAAACAGG
rnacentral:rRNA from 1 species